CAGUCGCCGCGGGAAUACGCAGGUGGCAAGCGUUGUCCGGAAUUAUUGGGCGUAAAGGGCUCGCAGGCGGUUUCUUAAGUCUGAUGUGAAAGCCCCCGGCUCAACCGGGGAGGGUCAUUGGAAACUGGGAAACUUGAGUGCAGAAGAGGAGAGUGGAAUUCCACGUGUAGCGGUGAAAUGCGUAGAGAUGUGGAGGAACACCAGUGGCGAAGGCGACUCUCUGGUCUGUAACUGACGCUGAGGAGCGAAAGCGUGGGGAGCGAACAGGAUUAGAUACCCCAGUAGUCCCUGUCUCUUAUAC
rnacentral:rRNA from 1 species